ACUCCUACGGGAGGCAGCAGUGGGAAUAUUGCACAAUGGGCGCAAGCCUGAUGCAGCCAUGCCGCGUGUAUGAAGAAGGCCUUCGGUUGUAAAUGUACUUCAGCAGUGAGGAAGGUGGAUAUGUUAAUAGCAUACUCAUUUGACGUUAGCUGCAGAAGAAGCACCGGCUAACUCCGUGCCAGCAGCCGCGGUAAUACGGAGGGUGCGAGCGUUAAUCGGAA
rnacentral:rRNA from 1 species